rnacentral:rRNA from 2 species
UUUAACCANGAAAGUCACGGCUAAUUACGUNCNAGCAGCCNNGGUAAUACGUAGGUGGCAANCGUUAUCCGGAUUUAUUGGGCGUAAAGAGAGNNCAGGCGGUUUUCUAAGUCUGAUGAGAAAGCCUUCGGCUUAACCGGAGAAGUGCAUCGGAAACUGGAUAACUUGAGUGCAGAAGAGGGUAGUGGAACUCCAUGUGUAGCGGUGGAAUGCGUAGAUAUAUGGAAGNNCACCAGUGGCGAAGGCGGCUACCUGGUCUGCAACUGACGCUGAGACUCGAAAGCAUGGGUAGCGAACAGGAUUAGAUACCCUGGUAGUCCAUGCCGUAAACGAUGAGUGCUAGGUGUUGGAGGGUUUCCGCCCUUCAGUGCCGGAGCUAACGCAUUAAGCAYUCCGCCUGGGGAGUACGACCGCAAGGUUGAAACUCAAAGGAAUUGACGGGGGCCCGCACAAGCGGUGGAGCAUGUGGUUUAAUUCGAAGCUACGCGAAGAACCUUACCAGGUCUUGACAUCUUGCGCCAACCCUAGAGAUAGGGCGUUUCCUUCGGGAACGCAAUGACAGGUGGUGCAUGGUCGUCGUCAGCUCGUGUCGUGAGAUGUUGGGUUAAGUCCCGCAACGAGCGCAACCCUUGUUACUAGUUGCCAGCAUUAAGUUGGGCACUCUAGUGAGACUGCCGGUGACAAACCGGAGGAAGGUGGGGACGACGUCAGAUCAUCAUGCCCCUUAUGACCUGGGCUACACACGUGCUACAAUGGACGGUACAACGAGUCGCGAACUCGCGAGGGCAAGCAAAUCUCUUAAAACCGUUCUCAGUUCGGACUGCAGGCUGCAACUCGCCUGCACGAAGUCGGAAUCGCUAGUAAUCGCGGAUCAGCAUGCCGCGGUGAAUACGUUCCCGGGCCUUGUACACACCGCCCGUCACACCAUGAGAGUUUGUAACACCCAAAGUCGGUGGGNUAACCC